GGACGGACUUCUGGAGAGACCUUAUUAGGCGCCGAAGGGGCAAGGCAUACUGCUCAAUCUCUCAGGCAAAAGGACAGAAGGUAAAAU
rfam:Streptococcus pyogenes M1 GAS, complete genome.